UAUGUAGAUAAGUAAAUAUCUCAAAUUAAAAUUAUAAAUUAAUUAAAGCGUGCCUCGUCAAUGUGUGCAGACUUCGACCACUGUGGAUCUGUUAACGUCUUACUUUGGCAGGAUUAGAGUGAAUUUAAAUGUCUAAUACUGUCAGGUAAUGAUGUCCUCAGAUACCCAUUAAUCGCCAACAAUAUUGUGUCAAGAAUUUUCUAUUCAACUACUCGGAGCUUGCACAAUUCCAGACAAGUAUUUAAUGUUGCUAGAGCCAUAACAUUUUGUGGAAGUAGGUUAAAUUCAAGCAGUACCGACUACUGCGGCUGAUGGAAACAUGUGCGAGCCAGAUAUUAUAAUCUGUCAUCGAAAUAUUUAUGAAUGGUUUCGGCCUACCUCCUGGACAGACGAUCUCAACAAAUCUUCAAACACGAGUACCUACAAAUAAUUAUUUUCGAACGAGGAAGCUCGCCAAGAAUGUGUUUUAACAUUGCAUAUGCAUUGGCCUAUAUAAUAGAAAAUAGUUCAAGCAAGUUCUUAAAUUUUGUUUACAUCGUGUCGUGUUUUUUGGUACCACUCGAGUCUUACAAAUAAAUGCCCUUCAAAUUUUAAUUCAAAGUAACAAAAGAGACUCUUGUUAAUCGUCAAAUCAACCAGCGGUUUUGUGGUUUGAAUUGGUAGACAAAAAAUGAAUUCUAAGAAAGAAAAAAAUACUCAAUCUAAAAUAAUAUGCAUUGUCUAUAACUUAUAACGAUGAGGACCACGCGCCGUAAACACAUGCGUGAAAACAAUAAUAAUGAACAAGCUGUCUAAAUACAUAAGAGCGAGGGUAGGGAACACUGCAUACGGGCUACUGUUAUUAUAUUGACUUUAUUAAACGCACUCGUUCCUACUGGCUUCCGUUUAAAUUACAUUAAUUUACGAGAUAUUUAAAAAUAUUAUGCCUAUAACGUCGCCUGUAUAUAAAUAUGCAGGGGUCCCAAAAGUUGAACAAAACGUUAAUGAUUCAAUUACAUUUACCGUGUAUUAAUUGGAUUCCAACAAUGAGCUUACAUAUUACUUAUUUUAACAUAGUUAUAACUUUAUUUUUAAAGUUUUCAGUUUCCACAUGUUUUUAGUUUAAAAUAGCGUUAAACAGGGACGUCUUUUCAGUGUUUAACUAUGAUGACAAUCAUUUGAUGCGGGUCAAUUCCCCCCCCCCUCAAUCAGUUCAUACAAUAAUUGU